GGGUAAUGACGUGCGGGUUAAAGUGGUAGUGAUGUGAGGGGGAAGGAGGGGAUGUGAAGGGCGAAACGGGGAGGAUAUGAGGGGUGAAGUUAUGGAGAUUUGAAGGGUGAGGUGGUAAUGGGAAAACUAAAGAGAGGGCAUGUGAGGGGUGAGGUAGUGAUACGAUGGGUAAGGUGGAGAUGUUAGGGGUGAGGAGGGGAUGUGAGGGGUGAGGAGGUGGUGAUGUGAGCGGUGAGGAGGUGGUGAUGUAAGCGGUGAGGAGGUGGUGAUGUGAGCGUUGAGGAGGUGGUGAUGUGAGCGUUGAGGAGGUGGUGAUGUGAGCGGUGAGGAGGUGGUGAUGUGGGUGGUGAGGAGGUGGUGAUGUGAGGGGUGAGGAGG
ensembl:lncRNA